GCCCAGCGCCUAAUUUUAGGUUGUUUCAUUAACAUGAUACAAAGCAAGGACAAGCCUGUAGUAACCACUUUUGAGUCCACGCUGACUUUGUAUAAUACGAUGUUACACAAUUGCACUAUGUUGCACUUUAUAUUUCAUUCUAUAAUCAAAUUUAAAGUAUUUAAUAUUGUAUUGAAAUUUUUUUUUUUUUUAAGUAACGGUAUCUGCAUUACUUACACGUUUCUCCACAGUAUUAAUACACUACAGGUAUUACAACCUGCAUACCAGCACCAUGAAAAGUACUCAAGCUCAAACACAGACUGCAGUAAGGCAGGCCACAAAAGUUGAGGACUAUUGAUUUCUGGUAACAUUAUCACACUAAUGCUGAUAACUCUGAACAGCUCUUACAUAAUGCUCCUGGAACAACAGUAGCUUUAAUCCUACUUCAUAGUUCUUCAAUCACCAUAUUAAUUACCUAUUCUUAACAGUCUUCCCUACCCGUUUUUAAGUCACUCCUGAAAAAGCAGCUCUUUACCCUGGCCUUUGACACCACAUGAGAUGUUGGUUUUUAUUUAUUUAUUUUUAUUUUAGUUGUUUUUAGUUGAUUCUGUGCUGUUUUAUCUUGUUUUCUUUUUUAAUAUAGGGCUAUUUUAAUUUUUAUGUAUUAUGUGUUAUAUUGAUUCAUUUGUGCUGUUUUCUUUUAUUCUAUUGUUUUUAACUUAUUUUCUGUACAGCACUUUGGUCCUGUGCUGGGUAUUUUAAAGUGCUUUAUAAAUAAAAUUGGAUUGGAAAUUGGAUUAUCAAACUGUACGGUACCUUCUCUCCGUUUACAAUGCCUGUCUCAAGAUUCAUUAUUUGAAGAUCUACAUGCUAAAUCAAUCAUUCGGAAUGUUACUAUGUACUUUGGCUGAAUGUAUGAAAGCCUGCAUCUCCAUUUGCCGCAGGCUAAACUUUAAAAGUUUAGCUUAACUAUUUUUGCGCACAGUUUUGACCUGAAGCAGUCUCUGUGCUUCCCUGCAUCAGCUGGAUUAUCUGUUCCUCAGCCCUAUCCUUAAAAAAAGACUAGUUUUUCUGCGAUCCAGUUUGAGGAAAAUAGCCGUGAACUCUCUUAAGUGAAAGCAGCGCAUUUCUCACCCGAAAUCAGUGUCAGCAAAAAAAGCUGUACCAAAGCGCUCCCAUUAAACUCCAACAAGUGUUCCUGGUAAAUUAUGAGCUUCUUACCUGUUCCUCCUCCUUUCUGCGGUGCUCUGA
ensembl:lncRNA